CAUCUACUUUAUCCAUUUUAUAGUUACCCUCUUUUAUAAAUUAAAAAAUGGAAAUAAAACAUUUUUGUCAUGCAAACACAGUAAAGAGAAUACUAUAUAUAGAAACAGAACAAGAGACAGCCUAUUACAAUGCACCUUCUUUUCUAUUAAGAGUAUUGAGUGGGUGGGAGAUGAAUGGGGAGGAGGGGAGGCGGUCAAAGGGCACACGGUUUUAGUUAGGCAGGAGGAGUCGUUUCUGGUGCUCUGCUACCCAGCACGAAGGUUACAGAGUGGGCCUUAAAUAUAAUGAACACAAAAAGGAGAGCAAUAAAUUUGAAGUAGGAUUUCCGGAGUUUGAGGAUCGGUCUGUGUAGUGAGAUUCUGCUUUAAAAAAAUUAAAAAAAAUACAUAAAACAUACACAAAAGGAUAUUGCAAUGCACAUCUUCACCGGGAACUACUCUUGCUGAUAAAAUUCUCUAAUGUGAUUCUGGAGCCUGAGUGUACACAGGAAAGCUAAACUUCAUCUCUGCAGGAUGGCUAACAGUGCCUUUGAUCUGAUUCUGUCACGCAUCAGUUUCAACAGGUUUUUAAGUUCUCCUAACCACCAGCUUCAAUCGUCAUCAUCACAAGAGAAAGGUCCCUCAGAAAGUCUUGUUUCAUUAGAACAAAGUAUUUUAAGACCUCUCAACCACUGCAAAAUACCUGCAUACAGCAACACCAUCAAGUUCCCAAACCGAUGAAGAUAGCGCAUUACAAAGCAGCGGACUUUAGGAGACAAGGCUGCCAUUCAUGCAUUCGUAAGCAGUUAUUUACCCCAGUCCCUUGCUGGUGCUCGGCUCUGUCAAGAGCUUGGUGUGACGUGACGGGAAUUGAAGAGCCAAGCAGCACAGGAUGAGGGUGCCAGGGAAGCGACAAGAUCAGAGGAGGGCAGGGGAUGUUGCAGCCAGCAGUCAGGGAGAACGCGGAGAUAUCAGCGAUCGACGGGGCUCGAAGUGGGAAGAGAACAGCCCGGGCUGGGGUGGCCAGGCGACGGGGUGAGCAGCAAGAGGACAACUAGGAAAGGCGAGAGCGUGGGCUAGGGGGUGAAAAAGUCAGCGCCUGACGAAAAGCCUGUAAAGGCUUCACCUCCGAGGUGCAACAAAAGAUCCGAGGGCGCUGCAGGGCAGGACAUCGCUGAGUGACUGAAAGUGGAAGCACUUAAAGCCAGCCAUGCUCGGUUAGCCUCGGUGACGCGGGCUUAGGGAGUGGGAGGUUGUCCCGGGGCUGGCCGGCCGCCGUGCACGUGCUCCUGGUCAGCUGGCCGAGUACUUCAUCCAUGCCAACAACGCACGAGUUCUUCUCAGGACUGCAGACUCUCCAAAACAUCUUUAUUGUCCCCACGGACCCUGCCAGGAAAGGCCACAAGAGAGCGGCGGGGGAGGCGGAGGAAGAAGAGG
ensembl:lncRNA